ACUGAGUCUGGAUGGGUAUAGACCUGACUGUCCUGGAUCCUGCCUUCUCAAAAUUUGAAAUGUGAUGGAGGCAGAUACUUUCAGUAUCUCUCGUAGCCACUAAACCCAUUACAUGACACAAGGAUCAUAGAUUGAAAACUGAAAGAAAAAUUGGUCCAUGUUGGCCAGGACGCCAAGAAUAAGUCCCCUUCUCUUCAAAAUUUUGCCAUAGGAUUUCUACAUUCACUGAAGCAACUGGCUGGGUCUUUAGUUUAAGCUCUCAUCAGAAAGAUGGCACCUCAAACAGUGUCAGCCUUGAUCUUUGUACCAGGCAUUGGAAUAAGAACCCUGUG